rnacentral:tRNA from 10 species
GGAAAGAUGGCUGAGCUGGUCUAAGGCGCACGAUUGGAAAUCGUGUAACGGCUAAUACCCGUUCGAGGGUUCGAAUCCCUCUCUUUCCGCCA